AGCAAUGUGGCAUAGUGGUAAUGAGUAGGGCUUGUAAGCGAAAGGUCACCAGUUCGAUUCCCCACUGGGACACUGUUG